rnacentral:lncRNA from 1 species
AGAGGGGGUGCAUUUACGAUGUCGAUGCCAUAUUGGUUUUUAAGCAAAGAGGUAAUUGUUUCGGAGUUGAAGGAAGGCUCAUUGUCACAAUAUAUGGUCUUGGUAUUCGGGUAAAAAUUUAUCAAUUGUAUAAUGGGGGCUCGUACCUCUACUAUAGCCCUGGAAGAGAGGGGCUGUACGAUGGCAAACUUUGAGAACUUGUCGAUGCAGGUCAAAAAAAGUUUCUUGUCUGUGGAGAAUAUAUCAAUGUGCAGCAUUUCUCCGGCGUAUGACGGAACAGGGGUGACCCCCAGCUCUUGUUUUUUUUGGUGUCUGUUAUACUUUGCCUUGGUGCAGACUCUGCAGUUCAUAACCACCUCGUUAGCAAGUUUGGUCAUUUUCGGGAAAUAGUAGUCACGAAGGACCUGCUUAACAUUUUCUUGGGCUGCCCUAUGGGCGCGAUUGUGUUCGGCUGUAAUUAUUUCAGCCUGCUCGCUUGCAUCUGUGAUAUCGUUCACGAAGUUUUUGCAAUGCCAGAACUUGGUUGCGGGAAACUCCAGCACCAGAGCAUGUUGGAGGGUAGCUAAAGUCGGAAGAUCACAGUGGAUUGCAUUCACGACCUUGGAAUUGACCACCUCCUUUACUGACUUAAUUAGUGAGUCCUUAUCGUUGAAGUGAAUAAUGUGGCGGGUUUUUCCGCCGAAAAUUAUGAAGUUUCGCCGUAGAGGCUGGCUAGCUUCUUCUAGAAUUAUUUGGUUUCUGAAACAGUUGAGGGGCUUAUCCGUGGUUUCCACUGUGUAAGACAGAGAGAGCUCGCUGUGCACCGUGGCAGCAUCGGACUGAGGCUCUUCGUGUAGGUUAUUAAUGUUUUGUCUGGACAAGGCGUCGGCCACGAAGUUUUCCUUACCCGGUUUGUAGAACACCUUAGCGUUAUGUUCCUCUAUAAAGGCUUUCCACCGUUUGAUUUUGGCAUUUGUGUUCCUAUCGGACACAGCAAAUGUUAAGGGCUGGUGAUCGGUAAAGAUUCUUACUUACUUGGUACCGUAUAAGUAAUUUUGUAACUUCCCUAUAGCCCAUACAAUUGCCAACAAUUCCCUUUCGUUUGUGGCGUAGUUUACUUCACAAUCUUUUAGUGUUCGCGAGAUCAUUGUGAUUGGCCUGCCGUUUUGGGACAGGACCGCCCCAAUGCCGCUUGCUGAGGCAUCGGUAGUUAGAUCAAAGGGUAGUUUGAAAUCAGGGUACGUAAGGAUGACGUCCUCUGACGCCAAAAUGUUUCGCAGACGGUCGAAUGCGUUGCGUUGCGUUUCACCGAACUGAAUCGCAACUUUCUUGGACAUGUGUUUGCUGACUGUGCCAUUUUCUCCUUUGAGUAAUGCGGUUAAGGGUCUCGCUAUUGUCGCGAAAUCUCUGACAAAGCUCCUGUAAUAGCUGGCCAGCCCGAGGAAGGACCUGAGGCUGAACAGUGUUUUGGGUUCAGUGUAUUCCUUUAUUACUCUUACUUUUUCUGGGUCGGUCUUGGCUCCUCCCUUGGUAACUAUGAAGCCUCAGAACUCUACGCUUUCUUUAAAGAACUUUGUCUUUGGCGGUCUUUUUCCGCCAUGUAUAUCUGGUGGUACCCUGAUUUUAGAUCUAGGGUAGUAAAAAAUCUUGCCUUUCCCAAGUUCGCUAGAAUCAUGGGUAUGCUCGGCAUAGGGUAUCGAUCGGCAAUACCAGACGCUUUUUCCUGUUGCCGUUGGCGUCAGAUUUCAUUUUGUCUACAACCCAAAUUGGGCUGUUUUAUGGCGACCUAGAUGGCCUGAUUAUGCCGUCCUUCAAGAAUUCUUUGACUUCUUUGUUAACGAAGUCUGCUGCUCCCAUAGGGUAGGGGUAUAAUUUCGAGUAGACUGGUUCGUCAUUCACAGUUCGGAUGGUGGCGACGACUGAGGUGUUAAAGGGAAGCGCCUCGUUAGAGGUCGAAAAAACUUUAAUUCUCUUCAGUAUCAUCUUUUUAAACUCGGAUUUUACCGAGCCUGGGACCACCAGGUCAUCGACUUUGGUGAAAUUUACAUUGUCACAGUUGUGGAACCUAAGUUUUUCAGUAACGUUUCCGUAUCUGAUUGUUCUGCUGCGCAGGUUCAAUGCCGCUCCCGCUCGCGUUAGCAAANACAGGAUGGUGGUGGCCAGGUGGCUGGGUUGCGUGCGUCAUGAAGCAGAGCCGCCGGCGUGUACUUCGCGACAUAAAGAUAAUUUUAACCUGGGAGUAUUCUACUUAAAUAUGAAAUGAAAAAUUCUUAUAUUCUUACAUACUCCCAACAAAUAAGCUACUGGGACCUCUGUGAGCUGUUCGGUAAAAAUAGAUUUUAGGUCUUAGUGGGAUAUUCGCUUUGGCAAGUGUGAUCGUAAUCAUGAGAUUUGGACUACCGAAAUUAGCAUCCUGUUUCUGUGCCUCUGUGUUAAUCAGUACUCAGUUAAUCAGUCUAUGAUUCUACAAGCUGCUAUUUUUUCGAAGCCCAACUCGUCGGGGGUACUUGCUACGACCUUUAAUGCUGUUAUCAGGAAGUCUAGGCUUCUGGCCAUGUAUCAUUAAAGCGGACAACGGAUUUUUUUAUGUUCUAUAUCUGAAUGUGGGAACAACUCCAACAUUUUAACGGUAUAAAAGGCGGUGAUCCGCGCAGUUGUAGUAGAAGGGAGUAGGAAGAGUAUUCCGUCAAACCUGCGGGAAUGAUACCUUAAAUCUGUAAAACAAAAGUUUGAAUUAUUUCAGAUUGUCCUUAUGGACCACCCUCCCCUUAAUUAGAACUGCCGUUCCAAGGUCCGCUUGUACCCGUUCUUCUGAGUACAGCGGGGUUAGCUUGUUCCCUAGUCUUUUGUUAUUCCUUGGGUAAACCUUUUCGCCCACUUCAAAGACUCUGUUCUGCCUCGAGAUGUUUAAAGGAAGCGCCUCGUUAGAGGUCGAAAAAACUUGAAUUCUCUUCAGUAUCAUCUUUUUAAACUCG